rnacentral:lncRNA from 1 species
AAAAUUUGUUACACAUAAUAAUUAAAGUUGACCUAAGGAUAAAAGACCUUGGCUUAUAUUUUGCAAUAGUACACGGCCUUUGAUUGUUCUAUACCUCUUAACUAUUAAAGUUGAAAUGGUUAAGUAAUUUGUCAAGGUCACUGUAGAGGUCAUUGUCCUUCCUUCUGUAUAGGACCACUCAAAGAUCAAAGAAGGCUAAGUGUAAACCAUAAUCCUUUUGGUAUUUUAAUAACAAAUGGAAUAAAAAAAAAAAAACAGGCAAAAAGUAUCUAUCCAACUUAAAAUUCAAUUUGAUAUGAAAAUACAAAUGUAAACAAAUAAGUGGGCUUGCUCUGCAUGAUGUUGGAUUAUCUAAAAUUGCUUCAUAAUCUCAGACCAUAU